UACGUAGGGGGCGAGCGUUGUCCGGAAUUAUUGGGCGUAAAGAGCUCGUAGGCGGUCCGUCACGUCGGCUGUGAAAACCUGGGGCUCAACCCCGGGCCUGCAGCCGAUACGGGCGGACUAGAAUUCGGUAGGGGAGACUGGAAUUCCUGGUGUAGCGGUGAAAUGCGCAGAUAUCAGGAGGAACACCGGUGGCGAAGGCGGGUCUCUGGGCCGAUAUUGACGCUGAGGAGCGAAAGCGUGGGGAGCGAACAGG
rnacentral:rRNA from 1 species